rnacentral:rRNA from 1 species
UACGUAGGUGACCAGCGUUGUCCGGAUUUACUGGGCGUAAAGGGCGAGUAGGUGGCCAUCUAAGUCAGACGUGAAAUCCCCCGGCUUAACCUGGGAACUGCGUCUGAUACUGGACGGCUUGAGUAUGGGAGAGGAACGUAGAAUUCCAGGUGUAGCGGUGAAAUGCGUAGAUAUCUGGAGGAAUACCGGUGGCGAAGGCGGCGUUCUGGACCAUUACUGACACUGAAUCGCGAAAGCUAGGGGAGCAAACGGG